GACGAACGCUGGCGGCGUGCUUAACACAUGCAAGUCGAGCGGGAUCCAACCGGUGGCAACACCGGGGAAGAUCUAGCGGCGAACGGGUGAGUAACACGUGAGCAACCUGCCCCGAAGACUGGGAUAACACCGGGAAACCGGUGCUAAUACCGGAUGUCGUCAUUAGGCCGCAUGACCUGAUGAUGAAAGGAUUCAUCGCUUCGGGAGGGGCUCGCGGGCUAUCAGCUUGNGGUGGGGUAACGGCCUACCAAGGCGACGACGGCUAGCUGGUCUGAGAGGACGACCAGCCACACUGGGACUGAGACACGGCCCAGACUCCUACGGGAGGCAGCAGUGGGGAAUCUUGCGCAAUGGGCGAAAGCCUGACGCAGUAACGCCGCGUGGGGGAUGAAUGCCUUCGGGUU
rnacentral:rRNA from 1 species